rnacentral:rRNA from 1 species
AGGGUGACAGCCCCGUACACAAAAAUGCACAUGCUGUGAGCUCGAUGAGUAGGGCGGGACACGUGGUAUCCUGUCUGAAUAUGGGGGGACCAUCCUCCAAGGCUAAAUACUCCUGACUGACCGAUAGUGAACCAGUACCGUGAGGGAAAGGCGAAAAGAACCCCGGCGAGGGGAGUGAAAAAGAACCUGAAACCGUGUACGUACAAGCAGUGGGAGCCUCUUAAUGGGGUGACUGCGUACCUUUUGUAUAAUGGGUCAGCGACUUAUAUUCUGUAGCAAGGUUAACCGAAUAGGGGAGCCGAAGGGAAACCGAGUCUUAACUGGGCGUUAAGUUGCAGGGUAUAGACCCGAAACCCGGUGAUCUAGCCAUGGGCAGGUUGAAGGUUGGGUAACACUAACUGGAGGACCGAACCGACUAAUGUUGAAAAAUUAGCGGAUGACUUGUGGCUGGGGGUGAAAGGCCAAUCAAACCGGGAGAUAGCUGGUUCUCCCCGAAAGCUAUUUAGGUAGCGCCUCGUGAAUUCAUCUCCGGGGGUAGAGCACUGUUUCGGCAAGGGGGUCAUCCCGACUUACCAACCCGAUGCAAACUGCGAAUACCGGAGAAUGUUAUCACGGGAGACACACGGCGGGUGCUAACGUCCGUCGUGAAGAGGGAAACAACCCAGACCGCCAGCUAAGGUCCCAAAGUCAUGGUUAAGUGGGAAACGAUGUGGGAAGGCCCAGACAGCCAGGAUGUUGGCUUAGAAGCAGCCAUCAUUUAAAGAAAGCGUAAUAGCUCACUGGUCGAGUCGGCCUGCGCGGAAGAUGUAACGGGGCUAAACCAUGCACCGAAGCUGCGGCAGCGACGUUUAUGCGUUGUUGGGUAGGGGAGCGUUCUGUAAGCCUGCGAAGGUGUACUGUGAGGUAUGCUGGAGGUAUCAGAAGUGCGAAUGCUGACAUAAGUAACGAUAAAGCGGGUGAAAAGCCCGC